GAUGAAGAACGUAGCGAAAUGCGAUACGUAAUGUGAAUUGCAGAAUUCAGUGAAUCAUCGAGUCUUUGAACGCACAUUGCGCCCCCUGGUAUUCCGGGGGGCAUGCCUGUCCGAGCGUCAUUGCUGCCCUCAAGCACGGCUUGUGUGUUGGGCCUCCGUCCUCCUCCCGGGGGACGGGCCCGAAAGGCAGCGGCGGCACCGCGUCCGGUCCUCGAGCGUAUGGGGCUUCGUCACCCGCUCUUGUAGGCCCGGCCGGCGCUUCCGACACAUCAAUCUUUUUUCCAGGUUGACCUCGGAUCAGGUAGGGAUACCCGCUGAACUUAAGCAUAUCAAUAAGCGGAGGA
rnacentral:misc_RNA from 1 species